GCCACCACCACCUGAGACUUUUCUCAGGGGGUCUCAGCAGUGGAUGGUGGUCUUACUGUCCUCUAAGCCUGCUCUGACUGUCAUCAGGAAACAAAUAGCCAUAGGGACAAUGGACCCUGCUCCUUCUCUGACUAAGGAGCCAUUUAAAAAAACUGUUCUUAAUGUCUUGGUGGAGGUUCCUUCCUGAGUUCUCUCCCAUUUUGGUGGACUGUUGGGCCGAAUAGACAGCCCAGUCCUGACUAAUUUAACCAGUUGAGGUGGCUGUGGGGAGGGAAGAGAAAGAGGGGUCAACCUGGGAAGUCUGGUGAGUCCAAGUCUCCCAUCAAUCUUAGUGACGAGGGGCUCCUAAAAGAGACCAGCCCCAGGGUCCACUGUGGGCAGUGCCAGUCAUGAAAGGUGGGACUGUGACGGCCUGGAAAGCUGAAUGUCUGAGCUGGGCUGUGUCCUCACAGCACCCCCAAUCUUGCUGGGGUACUAUACCUCAUAAAGAAGCUGCUGCAGGUAAAACAAAUUAAGAUAUCAUCUCAGCUUAUUGCAAAGAACCACCUAGAAGUUUCAAAGGCCAUGUGCAGAGAGACUUCAACUAGAACGAAGAGUCAGGGGAUGCUGGAGCAUAAGCAACUCAUCGAGCAGAGACAAUCCUGGUCCCCCCAGAGGCCAGUGGCUCUGAAGGAAUUUUGCUGAAAAUCCAGGAAAAUGAUGGGAAACACAAGCCGUCUAGCAAGAUGUCUGGUAAAGAAAAAGCCUUUGAUAAAGGAUGAUGGUGACCACUCUUCGUGUGUACAUUACAGUCGACGUGUGUUUGCUGGGUACCUGUCUGAGUGCAGCAGCCAUGCGUAGGAAGAGGGGUUAACAGAACACAGGCGGCAAAUCAAGGCCAAGGGAAAGGAGCGUGUGGGCAGGGCAUCUGUGAGGAAUGGUGACCAUGACUAAUCCUCCAUUGGGCAUUUCACAUUUCUGCGUGCUUAAAACUGCUGCCCGGUCCAAAGAGGAUGGAGGCCCUCUUCGAGGAAGCUGGUUCAGGAACUGCCAUUGCUGUGACGCACAGACUGAUCUCAGCUAGUCACUGGGACUUAUCAGCUCCUGGAUGCAAAGUCCUGUUGCUUGGACAGUCAAUCGAGCAAUCAUAGGGCUCUGGGGUUUCUAUUAGAAAGUCAUGUGACCAAUGGAAUUUUAAGAAACCAGACUCUGUUAAAUAGCCCCAUCUGAAUCCCUGGGAGCAGACUCUUCAUUCUGUCUUUUUGUGGGUGACCAGAGGAUCCUGACCAAACUCAGGGAACCAUGGAAGCUUUUAAGGUCCCCGUCAGCCUACUACGCUGAGCUCAGUGAGGGAUGGAGUGCUGGGGUAGCAGCUCAGACAUAAUUUGCUGAAUAUAAUAAAUGAAUCUAUGCCAUUUAGUUAUGCCCCAUUGCUUCCAGGGAAUUUAUGUACAGUGACCAUGAUGCUAAGGAAACGUUUUCAGUGAUAUAAAACGAAGAAAUACAUUUUUAUAUAAAUUAUUCCCAGUCAGCCUGUUACAAGAGCAACAGCAAAACUCCCGUGGUAAAUAGGGACCGGUAUCGACAGUGAUUAAUUAGGCUAUCUCUUUUCUGCCUGUGACAGCAUUAUAAUUGCAAAUGAUGCCCAGCAGCUAGGAAGUAAAUUCCAAGAAUUAUAGAGAUUGUAGAUGGAACCAUGCCCAGCAAUUCAAAACAUAUGCAUAACAAAGCACGCCGAACACACACAUACACACAAAACACAGACAAAAACGUGCAUACAUAGAUACAUAGACACACACACACAUGCACACACACAGAUGCAGCUGGUGAAUGUCUCCCGUGGGAAGACUCUAAGGUGGGUCAGUGUCCGCUGAAUGGAGUCACCACAGGUGAAUGAUUCUUAAUCUCCCACGAGGAAGCAAAAACAAACAUUUUUCUUCUGUCUUUCUGCUAGCCAAGAGAUAAGGUCAGAAUGCCAAGUGGCAGGUUUUACUGGGGAGAAGGGUCAGAGGGCAGAGGUAUUCAGUGAGGAGAGAGCUCCCUGGGGAGGAGUUAUCUCUCCCUUUACCUCAGGUCAUUCCCUCCACCCUGGAGACCAUCCCAGGUAGAUCUCAUGGCUUCCAGUCCUCAUUUCCUGUCAGUUAGUCUCAGUAUGGAACAGGAAUCACAAAGGAUCUUCACACAUAUGUGAUAAAUAGGGACAAAAAUUAAUUGUAUUUUAGUUCGUAAUGCUCUUCACUUUUUCACUUGUUCACAUAUUAUCUUGCUAUCCAGAGCAAUAAGCUUGGCAGGCAGGGGCCACAGUGCACACAUUGCAUGUCAUUUUCUUUGCCUCCUAAGCACAAGGGCUUCACGCCAGGUGAGGCAGAGCAUGGUGGUUGCUUGUCCCACAGCCCUUGGCAGAGGGGUGCUUUUUCUGUACGCCUUCGGGAUUACUCUUCAGCACGGCUAAGUGAGGUUUAUAUUUGGAUUUUGGAUGUGCUGUAUGUGAAGCUAUGAGAGAAGAAGGAGCUAAGAGCAUGGAUCCUGUGACAACCUUUGAGCCUGAUGUCAGUCUCCUCCCGUGAUGGAAGGACAGAUUCAGAUGAUCUCCCAGGCUUAUUCUAGCUCUGACUGUUGCGACUCUGUGGAAACUUUGGGAUUAAGAAAUAAAUACAUAGAUCACCUUGU